UACGUAGGGGGCAAGCGUUGUCCGGAAUCAUUGGGCGUAAAGCGCGUGUAGGCGGCUACGUAAGUUGGGUGUGAAAGCCCUCGGCUUAACCGAGGAAGUGCGCCCAAAACUGCGAGGCUUGAGUACCGGAGAGGAUGGCGGAAUUCCCGGUGUAGAGGUGAAAUUCGUAGAUAUCGGGAGGAACACCAGCGGCGAAGGCGGCCAUCUGGACGGAUACUGACGCUGAGACGCGAAAGCGUGGGGAGCAAACAGG
rnacentral:rRNA from 1 species